CAGUAGCCACGGGAAUACGAAGGGGGCUAGCGUUGCUCGGAAUCACUGGGCGUAAAGGGUGCGUAGGCGGGUCUUUAAGUCAGGGGUGAAAUCCUGGAGCUCAACUCCGGAACUGCCUUUGAUACUGAAGAUCUUGAGUUCGGGAGAGGUGAGUGGAACUGCGAGUGUAGAGGUGAAAUUCGUAGAUAUUCGCAAGAACACCAGUGGCGAAGGCGGCUCACUGGCCCGAUACUGACGCUGAGGCACGAAAGCGUGGGGAGCAAACAGGAUUAGAUACCCCUGUAGUCCCUGUCUCUUAUAC
rnacentral:rRNA from 1 species